CCAUGCAUGUCUAAGUAUAAAUUCUUGUACGAUGAAACUGCAGACGGCUCAUUACAACAGUGAUAAACUGCUAGACUUUCGGGUUUUUAACCUUUUGGAUAACCGCAGUAAAUCGGGGCUAAUACAUAGAAGCGAUGGGUGACUGGCAACGGAAGCUCAGCGAUUAUUAGCGUUACUACCAAUACCUUCGGGUCUUGUGGUGAAACCGAAUAAUAUUGCAGAUCGAGGAUUUAUCUUCGACAAGUCUACUGUGUCACUGCCCUAUCAACUUUCGAUGGUACGGUAUUGGCCUACCAUGGUUGUAACGGGUAACGGGGAAUUAGGGUUCGAUUCCGGAGAGGGAGCCUGAGAAAUGGCUACCACUUCUACGGAAGGCAGCAGGCGCGCAAAUUACUCAAUCCCAAUACGGGGAAGUAGUGACAAUAAAUAUCAAUACCUAUCCUUUUUGGAGGGCAAUUGAAAUGAACACAAAUUAAAACUCUUAAUUAACACAAUUGGAGGGCAAGUCUGGUGCCAGCAGCCGCGGUAAUUCCAGCUCCAAUAGCAUAUACUAAAGUUGUUGCAGUUAAAAAGCUCGUAGUUGAAGUUAAAGUUAUAUUGGGCUAAAGUUUUUUACCACUUUUGUGGCUAAAAUAACUCCAAUAUUUCUUUUUUUAAUAGCUCAGUUUCUAGGUCUUUGAUUCUAGUUAUUUGGGCAUUUCACUGUGAGAAAAUUGUGGUGUUUAAAGCAGGCGUCUCGUCUGAUCUUUUGCAGCAUGGUAUGAUGGAACAUGACAUUUUACG
rnacentral:rRNA from 1 species